rnacentral:rRNA from 1 species
UACGUAGGGGGCAAGCGUUGUUCGGAAUUACUGGGCGUAAAGGGCGCGUAGGCGGCACAGCAAGUCGGGAGUGAAAGCCCGGGGCUCAACCCCGGAACGUCUUUCGAAACUGCUGAGCUCGAGUGCGGAAGAGGCAACUGGAAUUCCCAGUGUAGCGGUGAAAUGCGUAGAUAUCGAGAGGAACACCAGUGGCGAAGGCGAGUCCCUGGACAACUCCUGACACUGAGGCACGAAGGCCAGGGGAGCAAACGGG